rnacentral:rRNA from 1 species
UGGACGAAAGUCUGAUGGAGCAACGCCGCGUGAGUGAUGAAGGUUUUCGGAUCGUAAAACUCUGUUGUAAGGGAAGAACAAGUGCGUGUAGGUAAUGAACGCACCUUGACGGUACCUUAUUAGAAAGCCACGGCUAACUACGUGCCAGCAGCCGCGGUAAUACGUAGGUGGCAAGCGUUGUCCGGAUUUAUUGGGCGUAAAGCGCGCGCAGGUGGUUUCUUAAGUCUGAUGUGAAAGCCCACGGCUCAACCGUGGAGGGUCAUUGGAAACUGGGGAACUUGAGUGCAGAAGAGGAUAGUGGAAUUCCAAGUGUAGCGGUGAAAUGCGUAGAGAUUUGGAGGAACACCAGUGGCGAAGGCGACUGUCUGGUCUGUAACUGACACUGAGGCGCGAAAGCGUGGGGAGCAAACAGGAUUAGAUACCCUGGUAGUCCACGCCGUAAACGAUGAGUGCUAAGUGUNAGGGGGUUUCCGCCCCUUAGUGCUGCAGCUAACGCAUNAAGCACUCCGCCUGGGGAGUACGACCGC